CAACUUUCAACAACGGAUCUCUUGGCUCUUGCAUCGAUGAAGAACGCAGCGAAAUGCGAUAAGUAAUGUGAAUUGCAGAAUUCCGUGAUUCAUCAAAUCUUUGAACGCAAAUUGCACUCUUUGGUAUUCCGAAGAGUAUGCUUGUUUGAGGGUUGUU
rnacentral:rRNA from 1 species